AGCCCAUCCCGUUCCACCCGAUGCCCAUGGGCAGAGACACCUUCCACCAGAUCAGGCUGCUCCAAGCCUGGGCUGGCUCCAAGCCCUGUCCAGCCUGGCCUCGGACACCUUCAGGGACGGGGCAAAUCCCAGGGAUGGAUUUUACGUGGAAAAGUGGAAGUUUACAAACAGAUUCGCUCGCCUGCACGCUCUGGAUGGUUCCACGCGUUACUUACCGGGAGUUUUCCGCGGAUUCGGCCGCCACCGUUCGGCAAAUGCCGGUGGCCACCGACCCACCGAGAAACGCGCAACACGCCCCGAGCACCCCCCGCCACCCGGGCCGCCCCGCGCAGCCCCAUUCAUUCCGCGCAGCCCGGAGCGGGGACGGCACGUCCCGCCCGGAUCGCGGUACGCCGGGACCGAGCCAGUAACCGGGGCCGGCGGUCGAGCCGGGGCGCUCCGCCCUCACCCGGUAACCGGGGCCGGGCCCAACCAAUAACCGGGGCAAGACCCACCGGCGCCAGCGCCCGCCGGCGGGGCCGCCCAAGGUCAGCACGCGGCGGGAGCCCGCGCUCGGCGGCGCCGGGGCGGCUCCCCGGGCAGCGCUCGCGGCCCGGCGGGGCCUGCCCGCGCCGCUACCACCCCCGGGCCUCACAUGGCGGAUGGCGACGGCUCUGGCGGACGCUCCUGCGGGUGCGGGUCGGGCUCCGGGCGGUGUCGCGGGCUGUGUGGGCGGCGCGGUCGCGGUCGGGAGAUGUCGGGAGGGCUCCGGGGGCUCCGGCGGCGGCUCCGGUGGCUCCGGGCGGGCUCGGGGCUCGGCGCGGCCUCGCUCCCACAAUGCCCCGCGCGCGCUCGGCCCGUGGUGACGCAGCAAAAUCCCCGCGCCCCGCGCGCGCCGCCUCCUCCCGCCGCCGCCACCGCGCGUGCGCGGCCCCCCCCGGCGCGCGCCCCCGCCCCGCGCGCGCCCCCGCCCGCUGCCCUUCCAGCAGCUUCUCGGCGCGCAUGCGCAGUGCGGCCCGGGAAUUGGGGGGGGGGCGGAGCGGGAAGGGGACCCCCGGGACCCCCGGGACCCCCCUCCUGCCCUCAUCCUGGUGUUCCCUGAGAGCAGAGCCCGACGCCACCCGGCUCCGCUCUCUUGUCAGGGAGUUGUGGGGUGAAAAGGUCCCUCCUGAGCCUCCUUCGCUCCAGGCUGAGCCCCUUUCCCAGCUCCCUCAGGAGUUCUCCAGACCCUUCUCCUGCUGGCCCAGCCCUUGGCCAGCUCUGGCCACGCUCCGGCCCCUCAGUGUCCCUGUGGCCGUGAGGGCCAGAACUGGACCCAGCACUGGAGGACAAUCCCAGGUGCCAUCGGCCUUUUGCCCACCUGGGCACACCUGGGCUCGUGUCCAGCCACUGGCACAGCACCCCAGGGCCUUUCCCAGCUUUCCAGCUCCUAUUCCCCCAAACUGGAGCAUUCCACGGGGUUGGUGCCUUGUCAACCCACUGGCCUCAGCCCAUGGAUCCAUCCUGUCCAGAUCCCUCUGCAGAGCCUCCUCCCUUCCAGCAGAUCAAUAUCCCACCCAAGCUGGUGUCAUCCACAAACCAAGGUGCCCUCAAUCCCCUCACCCAGAUCAUGGAUAA
rnacentral:lncRNA from 13 species